rnacentral:misc_RNA from 1 species
UUUCCGUAGGUGAACCUGCGGAAGGAUCAUUACAAGAAUUUUUGGACACCACUUUGUGGGUCCUUGUUUCAAACCCUAAAUCUGUAUACUAUUGAAGAAACUAGUAGUCUGACAAGGCCCUGUGCCACUUUAAUAAAAUUGUAUUAAAACUUUCAACAACGGAUCUCUUGGCUCUC